AUUGAACGCUGGCGGCAGGCCUAACACAUGCAAGUCGAGCGAGCGGCGGACGGGUGAGUAAUGUAUGGGGAACUGCCCGAUGGAGGGGGAUAACUACUGGAAACGGUAGCUAAUACCGCAUACCAUCGGAUGUACCCAUAUGGGAUUAGCUAGUAGGUGGGGUAAAGGCUCACCUAGGCGACGAUCUCUAGCUGGUCUGAGAGGAUGAUCAGCCACACUGGGACUGAGACACGGCCCAGACUCCUACGGGAGGCAGCAGGGGGGAAUAUUGCACAAUGGGCGCAAGCCUGAUGCAGCCAUGCCGCGUGUAUGAAGAAGGCCUUAGGGUUGUAAAGUACUUUCAGCGGGGAGGCGUUACCCGCAGAAGAAGCACCGGCUAACUCCGUGCCAGCCGCCGCGGUAAUUC
rnacentral:rRNA from 1 species